CCCAUCAGCCGGCCCCGUGCUGAAAAUAUCGCCGUUCGGCCCCAAGCGGCGCUUUUUUCUAGCGCGGGGAUGCUCUAACUGGUGCACAUCUCGGAGGUACAGUGCCAUGAGCCAAGAGGCAGGAUAGCGCGGCUCAAAAAAUCGAACGGCCCACGCGCAGCCGCUCUAUCCAGCAUCUGGGUAUAUAUAAAACGCAGAUGUCAGAAGUUGACCUAGAUCCCAGUCAGAUAGAACUAGAAGGAGGGGCGGCGGCGGAGCCAAAGAAGGCUUUGCUCGCAGACCAUGGAGCCUAGAAAGACGAAUGGCAAAAAGGAGUUCAUGAUAGAGUAUCAUCCCAUAUCCGUCGUCGAGAAAGGCACUCCGUCGGUGGAUGAGGCGCGCUUCAUCAGAAAAUAUAUCUUGGCGGCUUUUAUAGAGCACACCUUCAACCUUUUAUUUGUGGCGACUCUUGCCGGCUAUAUCUAUCUGAUGUUUGGUGCCCUCAUGUACUGCAAACUGUUGUAUGCGGUCUUUGAAUUCUUCUUAUGUCGCCAUACUUUAUAGUGAUGCUCCAUGCGUUACCCUUAUUGAAGGGGUUUUACAAAGAGAGGUAUGCCACGUAGGCAGCUGAUGCUGACUUGUGGCGUGUGCCAGCUACGAAGACUAUAAUGCCAAGCAUGAAUAAUAGGCGCAAUACCAGGUAGUUCCGAGGUGACCAGGUGCCCUUCAUUGAUUAUGUUCUAAGGUUUUUGUGCACCAUAGAACAUGGAACUGGUGGUGAUUUUUAUUGUUUUUAUGGUGCUACCUCUGAGAAACGGAACCUUAUUAUUUGAGUUCGUCGGUUGAAAACUUCCCUUGUAAAUACUGAAUCCUAUUUGCCUAUGGUAAUGUCAUUGAACACUAGCCUA